rnacentral:rRNA from 1 species
UACGAAGGGGGCUAGCGUUGCUCGGAAUCACUGGGCGUAAAGGGUGCGUAGGCGGGUCUUUUAAGUCAGGGGUGAAAUCCUGGAGCUCAACUCCAGAACUGCCUUUGAUACUGAAGAUCUUGAGUUCGGGAGAGGUGAGUGGAACUGCGAGUGUAGAGGUGAAAUUCGUAGAUAUUCGCAAGAACACCAGUGGCGAAGGCGGCUCACUGGCCCGAUACUGACGCUGAGGCACGGAAAGCGUGGGGAAGCAAACAGGG